rfam:Archaeon Heimdall LC_2 HeimC2_contig000038, whole genome shotgun sequence.
GCGGGGGUCGCCCAGCCUGGCCAACGGCGCUAGGUUCAGAUCCUAGUCAUUUAGAUGUUCGUGGGUUCAAAUCCCACCCUCCGCA